UAACCUGCUAAAUAGCCCGUAUUGCUUUGGCAGUACGCUGGCUUCUUAGAGGGACUAUCGGCUCAAGCCGAUGGAAGUUUGAGGCAAUAACAGGUCUGUGAUGCCCUUAGAUGUUCUGGGCCGCACGCGCGCUACACUGACAGAGCCAGCGAGUACUCCCUUGGCCGAAAGGCCCGGGUAAUCUUGUUAAACUCUGUCGUGCUGGGGAUAGGGCAUUGCAAUUAUUGCCCUUCAACGAGGAAUCCCUAGUAAGCGCAAGUCAUCAGCUUGCGUUGAUUACGUCCCUGCCCUUUGUACACACCGCCCGUCGCU
rnacentral:rRNA from 1 species